CUUAAAAAUAAAAAAAAGGAAAAUUGUCUGAGAAACGGCACUGAAGAAAGCUUUAAGCAAAGGACCUUUUCUCGUCUUCUUUAAUGGCAGAUCUCUCAUUUUACUGACUUGCAUUAUGAGUUUACGGUCUCGUUUUUUAGCUAGCUGAGUUGG